UGAUCCUGGCUCAGGAUGAACGCUGGCGGCGUGCUUAACACAUGCAAGUCGAACGAUGAAGCCCAGCUUGCUGGGUGGAUUAGUGGCGAACGGGUGAGUAACACGUGAGUAACCUGCCCUUAACUMUGGGAUAAGCCUGGGAAACUGGGUCUAAUACCGGAUAGGAGCGUCCACCGCAUGGUGGGUGUUGGAAAGAUUUAUCGGUUUUGGAUGGACUCGCGGCCUAUCAGCUUGUUGGUGAGGUAAUGGCUCACCAAGGCGACGACGGGUAGCCGGCACUGAGAGGGUGACCGGCCACACUGGGACUGAGACACGGCCCAGACUCCUACGGGAGGCAGCAGUGGGGAAUAUUGCACAAUGGGCGCAAGCCUGAUGCAGCGACGCCGCGUGAGGGAUGACGGCCUUCGGGUUGUAAACCUCUUUCAGUAGGGAAGAAGCGAAAGUGACGGUACCUGCAGAAGAAGCACCGGCUAACUACGUGCCAGCAGCCGCGGUAAUACGUAGGGUGCGAGCGUUAUCCGGAAUUAUUGGGCGUAAAGAGCUCGUAGGCGGUUUGUCGCGUCUGUCGUGAAAGUCCGGGGCUUAACCCCGGAUCUGCGGUGGGUACGGGCAGACUAGAGUGCAGUAGGGGAGACUGGAAUUCCUGGUGUAGCGGUGGAAUGCGCAGAUAUCAGGAGGAACACCGAUGGCGAAGGCAGGUCUCUGGGCUGUAACUGACGCUGAGGAGCGAAAGCAUGGGGAGCGAACAGGAUUAGAUACCCUGGUAGUCCAUGCCGUAAACGUUGGGCACUAGGUGUGGGGACCAUUCCACGGUUUCCGCGCCGCAGCUAACGCAUUAAGUGCCCCGCCUGGGGAGUACGGCCGCAAGGCUAAAACUCAAAGGAAUUGACGGGGGCCCGCACAAGCGGCGGAGCAUGCGGAUUAAUUCGAUGCAACGCGAAGAACCUUACCAAGGCUUGACAUGUUCUCGAUCGCCGUAGAGAUACGGUUUCCCCUUUGGGGCGGGUUCACAGGUGGUGCAUGGUUGUCGUCAGCUCGUGUCGUGAGAUGUUGGGUUAAGUCCCGCAACGAGCGCAACCCUCGUUCCAUGUUGCCAGCACGUMRUGGUGGGGACUCAUGGGAGACUGCCGGGGUCAACUCGGAGGAAGGUGAGGACGACGUCAAAUCAUCAUGCCCCUUAUGUCUUGGGCUUCACGCAUGCUACAAUGGCCGGUACAAUGGGUUGCGAUACUGUGAGGUGGAGCUAAUCCCAAAAAGCCGGUCUCAGUUCGGAUUGGGGUCUGCAACUCGACCCCAUGAAGUCGGAGUCGCUAGUAAUCGCAGAUCAGCAACGCUGCGGUGAAUACGUUCCCGGGCCUUGUACACACCG
rnacentral:rRNA from 1 species